AUGACAAAGGGAACGUUAUCGUUUGAAAAGCGUUGCAAUAUGAUGCACACGUUGUGCGGCCACUGUGGCUCUAAGGCCUGUCACCUUCCGAAGUCUACCUGUGGCAAAUGUGGCUACCCCGCCAAGCGCAAGAGGAAGUAUGACUGGUGUGCCAAGGCUAAAAGACUAAAGGCCACAGGGACUGGGCGAAUGAAGCGGCGUGGAUUUCCAUAAAGGAACAACACCUAAACCCAAAAGGGCAGCUGUUGCAGCAUCCAGUUCAUCU
rnacentral:lncRNA from 1 species